rnacentral:rRNA from 1 species
GUGGGGAAUCUUCCGCAAUGGACGAAAGUCUGACGGAGCAACGCCGCGUGAGUGAAGAAGGUUUUCGGAUCGUAAAGCUCUUUCGUUAGGGACGAACGUGCUCUUUGUGAAUAAUGAGGAGUAAUGACGGUACCUAAAUAAGAAGCCACGGCUAACUACGUGCCAGCAGCCGCGGUAAUACGUAGGUGGCAAGCGUUGUCCGGAAUUAUUGGGCGUAAAGCGCGCGCAGGCGGGAUAUCAAGUCUGUCUUAAAAGUGCGAGGCUCAACCUCGUGAGGGGACAGAAACUGGUAUUCUUGAGUGUCGGAGAGGAAAGUGGAAUUCCAAGUGUAGCGGUGAAAUGCGUAGAGAUUUUGAAGAACACCAGUGGCGAAGGCGACUUUCUGGACGAUGUCUGACGCUGAGGCGCGAAAGCUAGGGGAGCGAACGGGAUUAGAUACCCGAGUAGUCC